AUUUUAUACCGAGAGACUUGCAGUCAUUAACGACAAAUUUAAGAACACCAGCUGAUCCAUGUAAAGGGCUAACAAGUAUAUAAGUAGCAUUCAACUAUAGUAGAUUAAGCGUGAUAAAUGCUGUUGGUAGCUGUGCGAUUAUGAAGAUCUCUGGCAUUAAACGCGCAGGGGCCGGUAAACUGAGGCGCACAGAGAAGAGGCGGGCUAAGGCAGCCACGUACAGCUUUCAGAAAGAGGCUCGCAUUACCGUGAGCGAACGCGUGUCCGUGCCUAGGCACGCUAACGGCAGCAUCUUGUUCAUGGUGGGACUGCAAGCAGCCCGGCUCUCAAAGCACGGCAAGCGCCGGACUAUCACCAGGAGGGAGGUUCGCUCCGCUGUGCAGCUCUUGCGCCCGAAGACGCACGCAGCCCACCAAGGCGCCUAAUUGGGCCGCAAUUUACUGUCUGAAUUUAUAUUAAGCAGAAUUUUAAUCGUAACAGUGAAAUUUUAAAUAAAGCUUUAUUUCAGAAUGAA